AUUGAACGCUGGCGGCAGGCUUAACACAUGCAAGUCGAGCGAGCGGCGGACGGGUGAGUAAUGUCUGGGAAACUGCCUGAUGGAGGGGGAUAACUACUGGAAACGGUAGCUAAUACCGCAUACCAUCGGUUGGGCCCAGAUGGGAUUAGCUAGUCGGUGGGGUAAAGGCUCACCUAGGCGACGAUCCCUAGCUGGUCUGAGAGGGUGACCAGCCACACUGGAACUGAGACACGGGCCAGACUCCUACGGGAGUCAGCAGUGGGGAAUAUUGGGCAAUGGGAGAAAGCCUGAUGCAGCCAUGCCGCGUGAAUGAAGAAGGCCUUCGGGUUGUAAAGUUCUUUUAGCAGGGAGGCGUUACCCGAAGAGGAAGCACCGGCUAACUCCGUGCCAGCAGCCGCGGUAAUUC
rnacentral:rRNA from 1 species